AACGCGAAGAACCUUACCAAGGCUUGACAUCCAACUAAUCCCGUAGAGAUAUGGGAGUGCCCUUCGGGGAAAGUUGAGACAGGUGGUGCAUGGUUGUCGUCAGCUCGUGUCGUGAGAUGUUGGGUUAAGUCCCGCAACGAGCGCAACCCCUAUAUUUAGUUGCUAACAGGUAAAGCUGAGAACUCUAGAUAGACUGCCGGUGACAAACCGGAGGAAGGUGGGGAUGACGUCAAAUCAUCAUGCCCCUUAUGUCUUGGGCUACACAUGUGCUACAAUGGACGGUACAGACGGAAGCGAAGCCGCGAGGUGAAGCAAAUCCGAGAAAGCCGUUCUCAGUUCGGAUUGCAGGCUGCAACUCGCCUGCAUGNAGUCGGAAUCGCUAGUAAUCGCAGGUCAGCACACUGCGGUGAAUACGUUCCCGGGCCUUGUACACACCG
rnacentral:rRNA from 1 species